rnacentral:rRNA from 1 species
AUUGAACGCUGGCGGCAGGCUUAACACAUGCAAGUCGAGCGGGGUGAUGGUGCUUGCACUAUCUUUUAGCGGCGGACGGGUGAGUAAUGCUUAGGAAUCUGCCUAUUAGUGGGGGACAACAUUUCGAAAGGAAUGCUAAUACCGCAUACGUCCUACGGGAGAAAGCAGGGGAUCUUCGGACCUUGCGCUAAUAGAUGAGCCUAAGUCGGAUUAGCUAGUUGGUGGGGUAAAGGCCUACCAAGGCGACGAUCUGUAGCGGGUCUGAGAGGAUGAUCCGCCACACUGGGACUGAGACACGGCCCAGACUCCUACGGGAGGCAGCAGUGGGGAAUAUUGGACAAUGGGCGCAAGCCUGAUCCAGCCAUGCCGCGUGUGUGAAGAAGGCCUUAUGGUUGUAAAGCACUUUAAGCGAGGAGGAGGCUACUUUAGUUAAUACCUAGAGAUAGUGGACGUUACUCGCAGAAUAAGCACCGGCUAACUCUGUGCCAGCAGCCGCGGUAAUACAGAGGGUGCAAGCGUUAAUCGGAUUUACUGGGCGUAAAGCGCGCGUAGGCGGCUAAUUAAGUCAAAUGUGAAAUCCCCGAGCUUAACUUGGGAAUUGCGUUCGAUACUGGUUAGCUAGAGUGUGGGAGAGGAUGGUAGAAUUCCUGGUGUAGCGGUGAAAUGCGUAGAGAUCUGGAGGAAUACCGAUGGCGAAGGCAGCCAUCUGGCCUAACACUGACGCUGAGGUGCGAAAGCAUGGGGAGCAAACAGGAUUAGAUACCCUGGUAGUCCAUGCCGUAAACGAUGUCUACUAGCCGUUGGGGCCUUUGAGGCUUUAGUGGCGCAGCUAACGCGAUAAGUAGACCGCCUGGGGAGUACGGUCGCAAGACUAAAACUCAAAUGAAUUGACGGGGGCCCGCACAAGCGGUGGAGCAUGUGGUUUAAUUCGAUGCAACGCGAAGAACCUUACCUGGCCUUGACAUAGUAAGAACUUUCCAGAGAUGGAUUGGUGCCUUCGGGAACUUACAUACAGGUGCUGCAUGGCUGUCGUCAGCUCGUGUCGUGAGAUGUUGGGUUAAGUCCCGCAACGAGCGCAACCCUUUUCCUUAUUUGCCAGCGAGUAAUGUCGGGAACUUUAAGGAUACUGCCAGUGACAAACUGGAGGAAGGCGGGGACGACGUCAAGUCAUCAUGGCCCUUACGGCCAGGGCUACACACGUGCUACAAUGGUCGGUACAAAGGGUUGCUACCUAGCGAUAGGAUGCUAAUCUCAAAAAGCCGAUCGUAGUCCGGAUUGGAGUCUGCAACUCGACUCCAUGAAGUCGGAAUCGCUAGUAAUCGCGGAUCAGAAUGCCGCGGUGAAUACGUUCCCGGGCCU